UUUGGGGCGGAUUUGGGGCUGAUUUGGGGUGGAUUUGGGGCAGAUUCAGGAUGGAUUUGGGGCUGAUUUGGGGUGGAUUUGGGGCUGAUUUGGGGCGGAUUCAGGAUGGAUUCAGGAUGGAUUCGGGGCGGAUUUGGGGCUGAUUUGGGGUGGAUUUGGGGCAGAUUCAGGAUGGAUUCGGGGCUGAUUUGGGGUGGAUUUGGGGCGGAUUCGGGGCAGAUUCAGGAUGGAUUCGGGGCGGAUUCAGGAUGGAUUCGGGGCUGAUUUGGGAUGGAUUUGAGGCUGAUUUGGGGCUGAUUUGGGGCAGAUUCAGGAUGGAUUCAGGAUGGAUUCGGGGCUGAUUUGGGAUGGAUUUGGGGUGGAUUCGGGGUGGAUUUGGGGCUGAUUUGGGGCGGAUUUGGGGCUGAUUUGGGGCUGAUUCAGGAUGGAUUCGGGGCUGAUUUGGGGCUGAUUUGGGGCUGAUUCAGGAUGGAUUCGGGGCUGAUUUGGGGCGGAUUCGGGGCUGAUUCAGGAUGGAUUUGGGGCUGAUUUGGGGUGGAUUUGGGGCAGAUUCAGGAUGGAUUCGGGGCUAAUUUGGGGUGGAUUCAGGGUGGAUUUGGGGCGGACUCGGGGCUGAUUUGGGGCUGACUCAGGGCUGAUUUGGGGUGGAUUCGGGGCUAAUUUGGGGUUGAUUUGAGGUGGAUUCGGGGCUGAUUUGGGAUGGAUUUGGGGUGGAUUCGGGGCUAAUUUGGGGUUGAUUUGAGGUGGAUUCGGGGCUGACUCGGGGCAGAUUUGGGAUGGCUUUGGGGCUGACUCGGGGUGCAUUCGGGGUUGAUUUGAGGUGGAUUCGGGGCUGACUCGGGGCUGAUUUGGGAUGGAUUUGGGGCAGAUUUGGGAUUCGGGGCAGAUUUGGGGUUGAUUUGGGGUGGAUUCGGGGCUGACUCGGGGCUGAUUUGGGAUGGAUUCGGGGCAGAUUUGGGGUUGAUUUUGGGCGGAUUCGGGGCUGACUCGGGGCGCAUUCGGG